UUUCUCUCCUCCUUUCUAUUUUAUGGGUUUCAAGCCUUUAAUUGCAGAUUAAGCACAAAUCUCUUCAAACAGUGCUCUGCUUGUGCAUCAGUGAUGCUUGAUGCUGACUCUAAAGGAUUCUCAGAUCCACUCAACCCAGUUAGGAGCUCCUUUAUUGUCCUGAUGAGGCUUUAGUCCAACUCUGUAUCCUUGUCUGCCAAGGACACUGUUCUCCCCUUGCGACCACCUUGAGCCGAAUUGCAGAGGUUGGCAGCUCCCAGAACCGUUCACAGCGUGCAGCAGAGCUCAGCAUGCUCUUCUGCACCAAGCUGUUGCAUCGAGAAAGUCUUUCCUAUUUGUUUUAUUUUUCUGGAAAUACUUCGGAAGUAAGAAUGAGGUUUCUUAUAUGAGCUUUUGCUUUUCUAACAAAGGAAAAACAAAAGAGGACUAGAAGGUUUACCAAAGCUGUUGUCACAGUAUCCUUGGAAGCUGCCUGCUUGGGAGAGACAGGGGUAUGGAAGACAUAUCUGACUAUGGGAUCUUCUGCUGUAGGCAGAAGAUGGUGAAUUGAAACAACCAUAAUGGGAGUUGCAGCCAAAAACAAGGGCAUUUACAAAGGAUAAUUAUUGCUUAGAUUAUGAAUAUCAAAUUUCUAUUGGCAUGAAAAAAUUACAUCUUACAGAGAUAUUAUAAGCAUUGUCAUUCACAAUGAAGCAUGACAGAAAAAGAUUUUACUCUCAGCUGCCUGUAGAAUUAAAUCACAUAAUCCAGUCUUUCUUCAGAGAAAUGUGAAGCUGAAACUCAGAAGGAUGCAUAUUUCUAUGUAAAAAUAACAUCAUUCCCCUCCUCAGAUUUGGUUCAACACUAGCAUGGAGAACUGCAAUAUAGGAAAGACAGGUGGGAAAUGUAAAGUUCUCUGGCCAUUGACAGAGUUCAAACAUUCAAACAUUUCCAGUUUCCCAUCCAGUUGUUGUCUUCAGCUUCAUUUGAUUAAGAAUGUCCCUUCCAGCCCCAUGAGGGAUGUCGUCUGAGACCUGCUAAUCUCGCAAGGAGGAGAGCAUGGAUGUGGGGCUCAAAGGUGCGGGUGGCAUCACAAUCUCACAGGAACCUACAGGCAAUCUGCGAAAAAAACACGAGGACCUCAAAGUCCCAGCAGGAAAUCAUAGCUAUGUAAAGAAACAAAAUAGAAAGUCAGAGUUUGCUUAGGAAGGACUGACUGACAGAAAUUAAGGAAAUGAGGUGUGAAUAAAAGGAUGCCUAUACCAAAAGAGUACAAGAGCUGAGGAAAAAUAGUCCUCUUGAUAGCCUCAAUGUCAUGACAAAAAGAGAAAACAGGGAUAUUUUAAUGAGGAGUAAUUUACUGUUAAUAUAUAAUAAAACAAGGGAAUUUCUAUCACAGAAGAAGGAUCAGAUGGAUGUGGAUUAAAUCUAGCAAAGUUAUUCAAUAUCUGACUGUCAACAGGGAUUUUUUAACUACCUGUCAGGGACUGACUGCAGCUGAACAGAAGGGAUUGUCCAAAAUUUUAUCAGACUGUGUUGGAAUAAUUUUUUUUGUAUGGAUGGAGAACAAAUGAAUUAAUGGGGACCUCUACAGAAUUUGAUUCUGACAAGAAAAUCUUGCAGAAAAUGUGAAGAAGAAAGGCAGCAAUUAGGAAAGGAUGGUUAAAUAAAAUCAAUUCCAAUUAAGUAGACUUCAAUAAAUUGAUGAUUUUGAUUUCUGUUAGAUUUUGGGAAAACUGUCUAACAACGAAGAUGGUUAAGUAAAGAGGUAGAGUGCCAAGGAGAGUGCCCAUUGCUGGGAGUUUUGAGUGGAUGAGAAAGCUGGGUUAAGGGUCUAGUAAUCUUGUGCUGAAGUAGAGGUUGCCCACUUGUGGUAUCUUCUGUGCCCCACUUUGAUGAUCUGAUGAUAAAGAGAUCAGAUAAAGAGGUUAUUGAGUUUAUAACAUAAGUCAUAUCCUGUUUAUGCCUAAUUGACUGUAAUGAUAUUCUGUAGUCCUGUGAAUGUAACUAUCUGCUUUUUAAAACAUUUGGAAUUGUCAGAUUGCAUGAA